rnacentral:rRNA from 1 species
UACGUAGGGUGCGAGCGUUGUCCGGAAUUAUUGGGCGUAAAGGGCUCGUAGGCGGUUUGUCGCGUCGGGAGUGAAAACUCAGGGCUUAACCCUGAGCCUGCUUCCGAUACGGGCAGACUAGAGGUAUGCAGGGGAGAACGGAAUUCCUGGUGUAGCAGUGAAAUGCGUAGAGAUCAUGAGGAAGACCAGUGGCGAAGGCGGGUCUCUGGACAGUUCCUGACACUGAGACACGAAGGCCAGGGGAGCAAACGGG